rnacentral:rRNA from 1 species
CGACCGGCGCACGGGUGAGUAACGCGUAUCCAACCUUCCCAUUAUUUGUGGGGAUAACCUGCCGAAAGGCAGACUAAUACCGCAUAGUCUUCGAUGACGGCAUCAGAUUUGAAGUAAAGAUUUAUCGGUAAUGGAUGGGGAUGCGUCUGAUUAGCUUGUUGGCGGGGUAACGGCCCACCAAGGCGACGAUCAGUAGGGGUUCUGAGAGGAAGGUCCCCCACAUUGGAACUGAGACACGGUCCAAACUCCUACGGGAGGCAGCAGCA